rnacentral:piRNA from 1 species
UCCAUCCCUUGAUUGCACUUUUACAUUUUA